rnacentral:rRNA from 1 species
AGAGUUUGAUCCUGGCUCAGGACGAACGCUGGCGGCGUGCCUAACACAUGCAAGUCGAACGGAGAAUUUCAAUAAGUUUACUUAGCGAAAUUUUUAGUGGCGGACGGGUGAGUAACGCGUGGGUAACCUACCCAUAAACCCGGGACAACCCUUGGAAACGAGGGCUAAUACCGGAUAAUCUUUAGGAUUGGCAUCAAACUUAAAGAAAAGGUGGCCUCUGAACAUGCUACCGAUUAUGGAUGGACCCGCGUCUGAUUAGCUAGUUGGUGGGGUAAAGGCCUACCAAGGCGACGAUCAGUAGCCGGCCUGAGAGGGUGAACGGCCACACUGGGACUGAGACACGGCCCAGACUCCUACGGGAGGCAGCAGUGGGGAAUCUUCCGCAAUGGACGAAAGUCUGACGGAGCAACGCCGCGUGUAUGAUGGAGGUCUUCGGAUUGUAAAGUACUGUCUUUGGGGAAGAACGAG